ACGGGUGAGUAACGCGUGGGAACGUGCCUUCCGGUUCGGAAUAACCCUGGGAAACUAGGGCUAAUACCGGAUACGCCCUUAUGGGGAAAGGUUUACUGCCGGAAGAUCGGCCCGCGUCUGAUUAGCUAGUUGGUGGGGUAACGGCCUACCAAGGCGACGAUCAGUAGCUGGUCUGAGAGGGUGAUCAGCCACACUGGGACUGAGACACGGCCCAGACUCCUACGGGAGGCAGCAGUGGGGAAUAUUGGACAAUGGGCGCAAGCCUGAUCCAGCCAUGCCGCGUGAGUGAUGAAGGCCUUAGGGUUGUAAAGCUCUUUUAUCCGGGACGAUAAUGACGGUACCGGAGGAAUAAGCCCCGGCUAACUUCGUGCCAGCAGCCGCGGUAAUACGAAGGGGGCUAGCGUUGCUCGGAAUCACUGGGCGUAAAGGGCGCGUAGGCGGCGUUUUAAGUCGGGGGUGAAAGCCUGUGGCUCAACCACAGAAUGGCCUUCGAUACUGGGACGCUUGAGUAUGGUAGAGGUUGGUGGAACUGCGAGUGUAGAGGUGAAAUUCGUAGA
rnacentral:rRNA from 1 species